rnacentral:tRNA from 1 species
UUAAUUGAAACCAAAGUAAGAGGUAUGCCACUGUUAAUGGUAUCAAUGGGGUCCCCUCCAAUUAAA